AAUCAACGCUGGCGGCGUGCCUAACACAUGCAAGUCGAACGAGAAAGGGACUUCGGUCCUGAGUACAGUGGCGCACGGGUGAGUAACACGUGACUAACCUACCCUGGAGUGGGGAAUAACUGAGGGAAACCUUAGCUAAUACCGCAUAAUACCUACGGGUCAAAGGAGCAAUUCGCUUCAGGAGGGGGUCGCGGCUGAUUAGCUAGUUGGCGGGUAAUGGCCCACCAAGGCAUUGAUCAGUAUCCGGCCUGAGAGGGCGCACGGACACACUGGAACUGAAACACGGUCCAGACUCCUACGGGAGGCAGCAGUGGGGAAUUUUGCGCAAUGGGGGAAACCCUGACGCAGCAACGCCGCGUGGAGGAUGAAAUCCCUUGGGAUGUAA
rnacentral:rRNA from 1 species